rnacentral:lncRNA from 1 species
CCCUAGUGUUGACAGUGGGUUACUUGCCAUUAAUUUUUAUACCCCUUCCAAAUUUAUUUCUCCAUGUUUAAUGCCUCAAAUUGCAAGUAGGGGGGUGAAAUUACACUGUAAAAAAAUUUGGGUCCAGAAUUUUAAAGGAAAGUAGUGAUUUGGUCCAGGUGAAAAAGGUUGAAAAUUAGCACUUCAAGUUCGGAAGCUGUCAAAAGAUUUCAAGACGCUCUAAACAUAAAAUUGUCCAUAUUUUGAGUUAGAGCCGAUGAAGUUUUCUAUAAUUUUGAUAUAAUUUGUCCCAAAAGUAGUACAACACACUGGAAAAGUUUCUUUGAGAAAGCGCAGGUGGGAUUUUUUUUAUUUUCAUUUAUGUUCUAAAAGAAAUGCACUACGAAAUGAUUGUGGUCUCGGACCUAAGAUUUAUUGGAGAAUACAUUUAUUUAACUACUCUUAUAUGCUUAAUUUUUUUAGUGAUUUGCCAGAUAAUUGCAAAGAAACCUGUUAAUUGUAUCAUAAUAUAUCUUAUAGGUUUUUUAGCCAACUCAAAAUCAUGCUUUUAGGACCCCCUUGUUGUACUGAGGAAGUGGACCGCUCAAGAAGAUGAAAGGUAAUGUAAAUAUAAAAAUAAGAAAAUGUAGUAUGAUUGCCAAUAAGAAAAGAGAGGAAUUUGUAAAAGUGAAAAUUCACUUGUUUUCCAAUCCUAAUACUAAUAAAAGUGUCUUAUAUUGUAAUGUUUAAAUUACCUAAUUAUUUAAAAAAAAAAAUUGUUUACACUAAUGAGAAAAGACAACUCUCCAUCAGAGAUCAAAUGACAUCAAAGUUAACAACUAUAGGUCAACAUACAUCCUUUAACCAUGAGCAAAGCCCAUACAUUAUACCAUAUAUACUGUAAAUUCUGAAAUAUUGUGUGCAUUUAUUAUUGCCACCAUUGCCAUUUUCAGUGGCAGAUCCAGAAAUUUUUCAUAAGUGAGGGCCCACUGACUGCCUAAGAGGGGGCCCGUCCUCGGUCAUGAUUCAGUGAUUCCCUAUAUAAUCAACCAAAUUUUUCCCAGAAAAGGGGGGCCCUGGCCCCCACCUAAAUCCGCCUCUGAUUUUAUCAUUUAAGACUUAAAUGCAAGUUUAAUUUUUAGGAUUUUGAGAAAAAUCCUGUUAAAUUCAUAAAAAAUAUUUCAAAAUGCGAGUUUAAAUUAUUGCGUUUACAACUAAACUCUGUCCAUUUUUAGCAAUAAUCAUGCUAAUAAAAACCUCACAAUAAUUUCUGAAUUUACAGUAGUCUGGUAUAUAAAAAGACCCUAAAUGAAAACGAAAAAUUUGUAAAACAAUUCAAACUGAAUUACAGGCUUCUGACAUGGGACAGGCACAUACUAAUUGAAGGAUGUGAUGGGGGCUAGACUAUAUAGCUAGCAGUUUGUGGUGCCAAACCCACCUAACCUGGUACAUGUAUAUUGAUGUGAAAAGGGCUUAACUCACCAGAUCUAUACAGUAUACAAAAAAGAAAUGCAUCUAACAAAAACACACACAAGACGUGUUUUUUGACAGUAAAUUUAUUCACACAUUGGCAAGAUACAUGUACAUUGAAAAGUUGUUCUUUUGUUAAAUGCCUGAAGUACGGAUUAUAACACAAAUGACAACAGGCCCGAGAACACAGUUCUUUCGUAGUGCAUUAAAUUCAAAUUUAAAAAAUCGCACCUGCUCUUUCUCAAAAAGAUUUUUACAGUGUAGUGUACUACCAGUGAGACAAAUAAUAUCAAAAUUAUAGAAACUUCUACCAGCUCUAAUGUUCACGAGUUUAGUCUUUCCUAUAUCAAAAUGGUGUAUUUUAACAUUUUUGCCUAUUAACUUAAAACAGCAAAACAAGAUCUAAUAAACAUCUGACAGUAAUUAAUGCCUAGAAUGAUUUUUUAACUGUAUACAGCAGAAUAGAUAAAUUAAAACCAGAAAGUUCAUACUGUACAUAUAUUUAUUAGCUAAGCUGUUGAUCUUCUUUCUGUUGUUUGCUUACAUGUUCUUUGCAUUCACUCAAAAGUAAAAGUACAUAUAGUUCUGUAAAGGUAUAAAUUAGUGAGCAUCAGUUCAAUAUGUUCAUACUACAUCUAGUUUUUGUCUGGACUUCAUGGACUUCUUGAUUAAAUAAUUUAGAUUUUAUACAAUUUUAGCUUGUUACCAAAAGAAUGGAAAGUACAGUAUUAAAACCACUGGUGAACAUGUACUGUACAUGUAGGUGUGAAUGUCCUGCAAAAAGAACUGAUAUCAAAGUAUGUUCAUCUGCAGAAUUGCAGUAAAUAUAAAUAAUUUGAUGCACUCUGUUCUCAAGUAUAAUUGUACAUGUACACUUGCUUAUUUUUCUCUCUUUCCAAUGUCAAGUAUGCUUCAAGGCAUCCUUACCCUGAUCCCCUCCUGCUCCAUACACACACACUCAGAAGUUCAAAUAAUCAGCAUUUAUAUAUUACAAACCUACCUAGUCAGACUGGCCUAUACAAUGUAUAUUAUGAAUUGACAAGUUGUUCUUGUUUUGAAUACAUAAAAUAUUUGCCACUGGACAUAGUUUCCGUACAAUAACUUUAGUUUAAGUAAAUGGAUUCUAUCUCUAUGAAAUUUAAAUACAAGGUUUGAACCCACACAAGGAAGAUUGGGAUUGAUUUUGGGGUUAUGGUCCCAACAGUUUAGGAACAAGGAGCCCAAAAGGGGUCAAAAUAAGUAUUUUCCUAGGUUCCAGACAAUUACUUGUGUAUAAGUGUAUGGAUCUUUCUGAAAUUGUACCACAAGGACUUGAAGGUUCCAUACCAAAAAAAAAAAAGGUUGGGAUUGAUUUUGGGGGUUAUCAUGGUUAUGGCACAAACUGUUUAUGAAUUAGGGGCCAAAAACAAUACUUCUCUAAUACUUUGUAUAAGUUGCUUAUUUCUAGACCAAUUUCAAUGGGGUUUUAUUCUUGAAUUCUUGGGGUUCUUUAAUAUGCUGAAUCAAACCCUGUAUUAAGUUUUUUUUAAUUUGGUCCCCGUUUUUAUACGACCGCAAAAUGUUUGCGUUCUUAUAUUGGUAUCACGUUGUCGGCUAUAUAAAAUGUACAAUAUACAAUGCAAUAUUCACUUAACUACCAACUGAUAAAUUAAAGCAAUCUUCACCAUUCAGUGAUUACAAGCACUCUGAUUACCAUUCUAGGGUUAUGCCCCUUUACAAGUGGAAAAAUUGAAGAAUUUUUUAGUUUCUGUUCUCUUAACUUAAGUUUGUCUCAACUAAAUUUAAUGAAAUGUGUAUAAUAAUGCUUAUUACCUCUAAACUCAGUUUAAGUUCAAUUUUUGGCAUCUUCACUUUUACAGUUCUUGAGUUAUGUCCCUUUAUAACGUCAUAUGUAAGCAGGGGGCAUCAUCUGUGUCCUUUUGGACACAUUCCCCAUUUAUUUUUUUAGAAGUUACUAUUAAUUCUAACCAUGACUGUAUGACAUUUUAUAUUUUAAUAUUUUAUGAUGUAUUUAAAUGAGUAGUUAUUGUUGCAAACUCCAUUAGAAUUUUGAAUUGAGAUCAUUUUUGGAAUAAGAGAAAGGGGGACGUGGAAAAAAAUUGGGGUGGGGGUCAAUUUUUUUUUCUCAUUUUAGAUUUCAGAAUUUAAAAAGAAAAUUUCUUCAAAUAUUUUUUUUUUGAGAGGAUUAAUAUUCAACAGCAUAGUAAAUUGCUCAAAAGCAAAAAAAAAAAAAAUUAAGUUCAUUAGACCACAUUUAUUCUGUGUCAGAAACCUAUGAUGUGUCAACUAUUUAAUCACAAUCCAAAUUCAGAGCUGUAUUCAGCUUGAAUGUUGUGUCCAUACUUGCCUCAACCUUCAGGGUUCGACCUCUGCAGUCGUAUAAAGCUGCACCCUGCGGAGUAUCUGGUUAAAUUGGUCACAAUUUAGGUCCAAAUGCCAUACAUAUUAUACACAGGUAAUGUGUAGUACACAUGCAUGAAUAGAGUUAGUUUUCAUUAUUUAAAAAAAAAAGGAAAAUAUGUAGUAUCAUUGCCAAUGAGACAACUAUUCAUCAGGUCAAAAUGACUGAAUGUUAGCAACUAAAGAUCACUUUACAUGUAUGUACAGCUUUCAACAAUGAGCAAAACCAAUACAGCAUCAAGCAAGCUAUGUCCUGGAAUGACAGAUGUAAAACAAUUCCAAAGAGAAAAUUAAGGGCCUGAUUUACAUAAAAGCGAAAAAAACAACCAUGAGAUAAAUACAUGUAGCAAAAACAACAACUAUUAUUUCUCCACUCCAGUUGUUCACACGAUAUUUAUGUAUAUAUAUAUAUGUAAGUUUGGUAAAUCAUUACUUAUCAAAUUUAUGUUAUCAUUUUUUGCUUGAUUGGUAAGCCAAUAUUUUAUGGUUAUUUUUUUUUUAAUUACAGCAACUGUAUUCCAAGAGUCUGAUGGCUGAUAAUGUAUUACAGGAUUUUAUCAUUCAAGCAACAUCUUAGAAGGAUAAGUGCAAAUGUAUGAAGGAAGCCGUGGGUACAAAUAGCAAUUACAGCAGAUACAUGCAGGAGAGAACUCUUAAACAAAGACAUGAUAUGGGAGUGAUGUAUUCAAGAAAUCUCAAA